AAUCAGGCAUUCACUCCUCCCACAUGUACUCAUCCUUCCACUUUCAUCUUGGAUCACAAUCUCGUAAAAAUGCACACUUCUCCAUUAUCUUGUUUUUUUAAACUCAAAAUAAAAAUAUUUUCAAAAUAAAGGCACACAUCCGCCGAACUGCACUGUGUUUGCUGCAAAUUAGCAUGCUAACACAAGGACCUCAGACUCAGUCUCAGUAAACAUUUUACCGGCUGAUCCUCUGUGUGCUUUGUGAAACCUCAGUUGACCUUUGAACCCUUGUGGCUUUCUGUUUUUAAUCUCUGUUUGCUCUGGUGUGAUUUGCCUGACUCAAGUACAGUAUGAGAAUGUGUGAAUGAGCGAAGCGAAGCCUGUGGGUUUUCUUGGCUCGCUCCUCAUGCUGAGAAAUCCAAGUGAGAGCUCGCCUUAUUCAGGAAGUGUUUUCGUUCUUUCUUUCUUUCUUUUUGGAUUACAUCUCUGGGCUGCUGGACUGUCUUUGUUUUCUCUGGCGUGACCAGAAUGGCCACGCAGCUCUCGAUGGCACAGACCAAAAAAAACAAAAAAGCCAACGUCAUGUUGAGUUUUCGGAAAGUGAACUCAGAGACCUCGUUCAUCUUUAAGAAGAGGAUGGAAAACACAUUCAGGAUUCAUCACGUGUCUUUAGUAGUGAUGGUGAGAUGAAGCCUCGUGAUGAGCUGAAGCUUUCCAUCCAACUGGUCGACUCAUGGUUCGAAGCAUUGUGAUGAUUCAUUUGCUCUACUGCGCCAUCAAGUGGACGAUUUAAGUGAAAUAGGCUCUGUGAUUAUAAUGAUGUGAUGUGUAAACCUCUAAACUGAAUAAAUAGAUUGUUUUCGUGGUUAUUUAUCCCAAA